UCCUACACUCGAACGCCCGCCGGUGGUGUAUUCUGGGGUUGGAAGGUUCUUCCGCUAGCAAAUCAUUUUGAAAAGACGUAGCCUGGUGGAUGCGCGUUGCCAUGCUCAGUGGAAGAUGAAACGACGUUUAAAAUCCUGCACGCCCCCAUGUGGAGCCUACAUGAAUAAUAUCAAUAGCUAACAUGUAUUAAGCACUGUAUCAGGAAAUGUUCUUACAUGUAUUUACUUAUUUAGAGUUGAGAAGAAUUCUAUGAGAUGACGAAUCAAAGCUCCAAAGAUCACAUAAUAAGCCAGAGACACAGCUGGAAGGAGAGGGUCAGAUCCCUUGACGACCUGCUCCAAAGCCCAUCAUUCUACACAGCAGGCUGAAACCUGAAGGAAAGCAAGUGGCACUGAUGGAUCUGAAGUAGAGUUAAAAUGGAAACUUUGGGGAAAAUGUUCAUUCUCCUGUUAACAACAGGUGAAUCAAGCCAAACUAAAACUAAAAACACAGGAAACGGGAAAUGUGAAGGGGGCGAAGAGAAGCUAUUAACAUUUUCACUCUUCUAACAAAAAAAGUGAAAUUGACUUUACUUCCUCUUUAUCGGAUUCAGGACAAUCAUUUUUUUCCUCGAAGGCUUCUUGUUGGCUUGGCAGAUUUGAAUGCACAGUGCUGCCACUGUAACAUGGGACUCUUGGAGAGGGGUCUUAAGUAAAACUGAGAAGGGGGCUCCAACCAGUCA